AUGGCCAUGGCCACCCUGGAAAGCUACCCAGUCGUCCGCGGCUCGCACCUCGUGCACCCCCAUGUGCCCCAUAGUUUGCAUGUGCAGAGCCGAACCCAGUGCCGCUCCUCAUCGCCAGUCGGGCUCGCUUUGGAAAGAGGCAAUCUAGGGUUCCCAUCUAUCCCCUGGCGGCGACUGCAGGAGUUCCAACUCUACCAUCAAAAUCUACCAAAAUCUCACGAGCAUACACCGGCGGCAUCCGCCGCCGCGGGAGCCGACGGCGGAAACAUGGGACAUGAAGAGAUCGAUGCUAAUCUAGAGGACAAAUUCCAGGGGAUGAAUCUCCAUGGUGAGGAAGAGGAGGAGUUGGACCUGGCUGGGGAAAUUGAGAGCCUAAUCAAGGAAACACAAUGGAUAGCUGUCUUUAGGGUUCAUACCCAAAGACCCUUCAACCAUGUUGCUCUAUUUAAGACGUUGAGGAACGCGUGGACGGCGGCGCAAGGUGUGACUUUCAAGCCAAUGCGUGAAAACCUAUUCCUGGCACAACUGAUCUGCUUUGGUGAUUCAAACAAAGAGAGUAAGAAGUACCAUGUGGAGUAUGAAAAGCUACCAGACUUCUGUGAUUUUUGUGGCAUGAUCGGACAUGUGGUAAUAGAAUGUGGUGAUGGAACCCAUAGGGUGGAAGACUAUGAAUGGGGUGACUGGCUAAUGGUGAACUUUGAUGCUUCGAUAGGUGUGGCUGGGUAUGGUAGGGGAGGCGGCCGGGGAGGAGGCCACGGGGGUGACAUGUUUAACAGAGGAAGAGGCUUCGGUGAUGGCAGAAGCACGACAUCAAGUGGUGCUAGAAGGGGAAAUUUUGGAGAUCCAAAUCCUCAACAAAUUGCUAACAUGGAUAUGGACAGGGGGAAUGAUAUUCACAGAAAUGCUAUUGUGUCGAUGGCUAGGAAACGUCUCAUUAAUCAGGAUGGGAGUGUUAAUAGUGUGGUUAACCCAUCUGUGGCACCCCCACCAGGCUUUGUGACCGAUCAAGUCCUCCUGACCGAGAACACAGGGGGAGAAAAGAUUGAUAAAUCACUCAUGAGCACCCCGCAAGAGAUACACAUAGUAAAAGGCUGA
rnacentral:rRNA from 1 species